rnacentral:rRNA from 1 species
CAAUAGCGUAUAUUAAAGUUGUUGCAGUUAAAAAGCUCGUAGUUGGACCUUGGACCUGGACAGGCGGUCCGCCUCACGGCGAGUACUGUCUUGCUGGGUCUUUCCUCUUGGUGAUCUGUUGUUUCGGCAGCAGGGAACCAGGACCUUUACUUUGAAAAAAUUAGAGUGUUCAAAGCAGGCUCGACGCCGGAAUAUAUUAGCAUGGAAUAAUAAAAUAGGACGUGCGGUUCUAUUUUGUUGGUUUUUGGAAUCGCCGUAAUGAUUAAUAGGGACAGUCGGGGGCAUUAGUACUCACAUGCUAGAGGUGAAAUUCUUGGAUUUUGUGAAGACUAACUUCUGCGAAAGCAUUUGCCAAGGAUGUUUUCAUUG